CAUUGAAACACCGGUUUCCCUACAACCACCGAAGUUAAGCAAAGUCGGGCCUAGUUAGUAUCUGGAUGAGUGACCGCUUCGGAAUACCAUGUGCUGUAAGC